CCGUGCUAGCAGUUGUAUCAUCAAUACAUAAAUAUUCGAAGGCACUUUCAACCUUUCCAGGUUAGCACUGGAAGAACGGAUACAGGAUCAACAAGAGACAGAAAGAACAGUUCAUGCAUCAAAAGUAGAUAACAUGUCAGCAAGAAGAUAAAGCAACUUCUUUGCCCUUUUACAAGCAGUAAGAACAUGGUAAAACUGUAGCAGCUCAUAUUAAUAGGUUUUUGUUAAAGGUGAAUCCUAUAUUAUAGAACUUACGAUGGAGUUUGAACAGUUUGGUGGAAUCUUUUUCUGAAUUAAGUGUUUGGAUCCAAGUAGGACUGGAUAUUUUAAAGAAACUAAAACUAAUUGAGAGCCAUUUAAAGUUUUAGCUACCAAUCAACCAUCCACAUUAUUAGUUCAUCUAGAUCAUGCUAACAUCAUAACAAUAUUCCUGAAUUAAGCACUAGUUCGAGCCCCGGAUACGGAAAAAAUCCUUGGUAGGGAACAAGGAAGGACCCUAGGUGGCCCGAAUCCGGAUUAGUCGGGCUCCGAUGCAGGUACAAUACUGGAUGGGAACCGCCCCCCCCCCAAAAAAAGCAUUAGAAUAAUAGUAAAUUUGUAACAUAAAACAAAAUAAAAAGAAAAGCAAAUAGUAACUUCUGUUUUAAACAAACACAUAAAAAGGAACAAACUGAAACUUUUUUGAACAUCAUAAUAAGGAAAAGAGAGUAGUUAAAAUUUUAAGGGGCUAGGGGAAGGAAGAUAACAUAUUUAAACUUUUUUUUUUCAAUUUUUUUGUAACAUGUUAGAACUUGUGACCUCC
rnacentral:lncRNA from 1 species